AUUGAACGCUGGCGGCAGGCUUAACACACGCAAGUCGAGCGGGGUGAUGGUGCUUGCACUAUCACAUAGCAGCGGACGGGUGAGUAAUGCUUAGGAAUCUGCCUAUUAGUGGGGGACAACAUCUCGAAAGGGAUGCUAAUACCGCAUACGUCCUACGGGAGAAAGCAGGGGAUCACUUGUGACCUUGCGCUAAUAGAUGAGCCUAAGUCGGAUUAGCUAGUUGGUGGGGUAAAGGCCUACCAAGGCGACGAUCUGUAGCGGGUCUGAGAGGAUGAUCCGCCACACUGGGACUGAGACACGGCCCAGACUCCUACGGGAGGCAGCAGUGGGGAAUAUUGGACAAUGGGGGGAACCCUGAUCCAGCCAUGCCGCGUGUGUGAAGAAGGCCUUAUGGUUGUAAAGCACUUUAAGCGAGGAGGAGGCUCUUUUGGUUAAUACCCAAGAUGAGUGGACGUUACUCGCAGAAUAAGCACCGGCUAACUCUGUGCCAGCAGCCGCCGUAA
rnacentral:rRNA from 1 species